UUAGUGGCGGACGGGUGAGUAACACGUGGGAACGUGCCUUUAGGUUCGGAAUAACUCAGGGAAACUUGUGCUAAUACCGAAUGUGCCCUUCGGGGGAAAGAUUUAUCGCCUUUAGAGCGGCCCGCGUCUGAUUAGCUUGUUGGUGGGGUAAUGGCCCACCAAGGCUACGAUCAGUAGCUGGUCUGAGAGGAUGACCAGCCACAUUGGGACUGAGACACGGCCCAAACUCCUACGGGAGGCAGCAGUGGGGAAUCUUGCGCAAUGGGCGAAAGCCUGACGCAGCCAUGCCGCGUGUAUGAUGAAGGUCUUAGGAUUGUAAAAUACUUUCACCGGUGAAGAUAAUGACUGUAGCCGGAGAAGAAGCCCCGGCUAACUUCGUGCCAGCAGCCGCGGUAAUACGAAGGGGGCUAGCGUUGCUCGGAAUUACUGGGCGUAAAGGGAGCGUAGGCGGACAUUUAAGUCAGAGGUGAAAUCCCGGAGCUUAACUUCGGA
rnacentral:rRNA from 1 species